GAUGAACGCUGGCGGCGUGCCUAACACAUGCAAGUCGAGCGGACAGACGCGGCUUUUGCUCGUCUGUCGUUUGGGGCGGAGGGGUGAAUCACAUGAGUAUACCCUCCUUAUAAGACUGGGAUCUCUUCGGGAACGCGGAGCUCACACCGGAUAAUAUCUUGAACCGUAUGGUUCAUUGGUGAAAGACGGUUUUGCUGUCACUAAUAGAUGGUUCCGCGCCGGUUGAGUUAGUUGGUAGGGUUACGGCUUACCAAGGCUAGUAUGCGUAGCCGACCUGUCAGGUGGAUCGGCCACACGGGAACUGAGACACGGUCCAGACUCCUACGAGAGGCAGCAGUAGGGAAUCUUCCGCAAUGGGCGAAAGCCUGACGGAGCAACGCCGCGUGAGUUAUGGAGGUCUUCGGAUCGUAAAGCUCUGUUAGGAGGGAAGAACAGAUGUGGAAUUAACCAUACACGUCUUGACGGUACCUAAUCAGAAAGCAACGGCUAACUACGUG
rnacentral:rRNA from 1 species